rnacentral:sRNA from 1 species
AACAAGAUAAAUAAAGCGCUUACAUGAAAAGGGGCUGUUAUAUAAUGGGAGAAAUUAUUUGCCAAACAUGUGAUUGCACGAUCGAACACUUUGAAGAUGAAAAAGUAACAAAGCUUUAUACAGAUCAAUGCCCGAAUUGCGGGAAGUAAUAUAUGAAGAGAAGCAGUGACCAAAGGGUCACUGCUUCUUUUUUC